CAACUCCCAGGCUCUCAGCCUAUUUCAAGAUCAACAAGUGCGCUUUGGCUGUGUCUGUAAAGAAAGGACAUAAAACAGGUUCCUGAGGGGAGGAGGAAUGUUGUUCCAGCAGCGACUGGCCAAGUACUUAAAACUACCACGAAAUGCUGCUGAGGUGUGUCGAGGCGUCACCAGUUGAACACUGCAGUUACGAGCCCC